CCUACGGUGAGCAGCAGUGGGGAAUCUUGCACAAUGGGGGAAACCCUGAUGCAGCGACGCCGCGUGAGUGAAGAAGUAUUUCGGUAUGUAAAGCUCUAUCAGCAGGGAAGAAAAUGACGGUACCUGAUUACGAAUUCCCGGCUAACUACGUGCCAGCUGCCGCGGCAAUACGGAGGGAGCAAGCGUUAUCCGGAUUUACGGGGGGUAAAGGGAGAGUAGACGGUGAUGCAAGUCAGAAGUGAAAUGCCGGGGUUCAAAUCAGGGACUGCUUUUGAAACUGUGGGACUGGAGUGAAGGAGAGGUAAGCGGAAUGCAUGGUGUAGCGGUGAAAUGCGUAGAGAUCAGGAAGAACACCGGUGGCGAAGGCGACUUACGGGACUGUAACUGACGUUGAGGCACGAAAGCGUGGGGAGCAAACAGGAUUAGAUACCCCAGUAGUC
rnacentral:rRNA from 1 species